rnacentral:rRNA from 1 species
ACGAACGCUGGCGGCAUGCCUAACACAUGCAAGUCGAACGAGACCUUCGGGUCUAGUGGCGCACGGGUGCGUAACGCGUGGGAACCUGCCCUUAGGUUCGGAAUAACUCCCCGAAAGGGGUGCUAAUACCGGAUAAUGUCUUCGGACCAAAGAUUUAUCGCCUUUGGAUGGGCCCGCGUUGGAUUAGCUAGUUGGUAGGGUAAAAGCCUACCAAGGCGACGAUCCAUAGCUGGUCUGAGAGGAUGAUCAGCCACACUGGGACUGAGACACGGCCCAGACUCCUACGGGAGGCAGCAGUGGAGAAUAUUGGACAAUGGGCGAAAGCCUGAUCCAGCAAUGCCGCGUGAGUGAUGAAGGCCUUAGGGUUGUAAAGCUCUUUUACCCGGGAUGAUAAUGACAGUACCGGGAGAAUAAGCUCCGGCUAACUCCGUG